rnacentral:rRNA from 1 species
CCCGCUCAGGAUGAACGCUGGCGGCGUGCCUAAUACAUGCAAGUCGAGCGAAUGGAUUAAGAGCUUGCUCUUAUGAAGUUAGCGGCGGACGGUGUGAGUAACACGUGGGUAACCUACCCAUAAGACUGGGAUAACUCCGGGAAACCGGGGCUAAUACCGGAUAAUAUUUUGAACUGCAUAGUUCGAAAUUGAAAGGCGGCUUCGGCUGUCACUUAUGGAUGGACCCGCGUCGCAUUAGCUAGUUGGUGAGGUAACGGCUCACCAAGGCGACGAUGCGUAGCCGACCUGAGAGGGUGAUCGGCCACACUGGGACUGAGACACGGCCCAGACUCCUACGGGAGGCAGCAGUAGGGAAUCUUCCGCAAUGGACGAAAGUCUGACGGAGCAACGCCGCGUGAGUGAUGAAGGCUUUCGGGUCGUAAAACUCUGUUGUUAGGGAAGAACAAGUGCUAGUUGAAUAAGCUGGCACCUUGACGGUACCUAACCAGAAAGCCACGGCUAACUACGUGCCAGCAGCCGCGGUAAUACGUAGGUGGCAAGCGUUAUCCGGAAUUAUUGGGCGUAAAGCGCGCGCAGGUGGUUUCUUAAGUCUGAUGUGAAAGCCCACGGCUCAACCGUGGAGGGUCAUUGGAAACUGGGAGACUUGAGUGCAGAAGAGGAAAGUGGAAUUCCAUGUGUAGCGGUGAAAUGCGUAGAGAUAUGGAGGAACACCCAGUGGCGAAGGCGACUUUCUGGUCUGUAACUACACUAGGCGCGAAGC